UACGUAGGGGGGCUAGCGUUGUCCGGAAUCAUUGGGCGUAAAGAGCUCGUAGGCGGCCUGUUGCGUCCGCUGUGAAAUCCCGGGGCUCAACCCCGGGCCUGCAGUGGAUACGGGCUGGCUAGAGGCAGGCAGGGGAGAACGGAAUUCCUGGUGUAGCGGUGAAAUGCGCAGAUAUCAGGAGGAACACCGGUGGCGAAGGCAGCACUCUGGGACGGUACUGACGCUGAGACGCGAAAGCGUGGGGAGCAAACAGG
rnacentral:rRNA from 1 species